rnacentral:rRNA from 1 species
AUGGUAGGAUAGAGGCCUACCAUGGUGGUAACGGGUAACGGGGUGUUAGGGCACGACACCGGAGAGGGAGCCUGAGAAACGGCUACCACAUCCAAGGAUGGCAGCAGGCGCGCAAAUUACCCAAUCCCGACACGGGGAGGUAGUGACAAUAAAUAACAAUACGGGGUUCUUUAGGAUCUCGUAAUUGGAAUGAGUACAAUUUAAAUCUCUUAACGAGGAACAAUUGGAGGGCAAGUCUGGUGCCAGCAGCCGCGGUAAUUCCAGCUCCAAUAGCGUAUAUUAAAGUUGUUGCAGUUAAAAAGCUCGUAGUCGAAUUUCGGGGUUAGUAGGUUGGUCAUGCCUCUGGUAUGUACUGGUCUCACUGAUUCCUCCUUCCUUAUGAACCGUAAUGCCAUUAAUUUGGUGUUGCGGGGAAUUUGGACUGUUACUUUGAAAAAAUUAGAGUGUUUAAAGCAAGCUAACGCUUGAAUACAUUAGCAUGGAAUAAUGAAAUAGGACGUUCGAUCUUAUUUUGUUGGUUUCUAGGAUUGACGUAAUGAUUAAUAGGGAUAGUUGGGGGCAUUAGUAUUCAAUUGUCAGAGGUGAAAUUCUUGGAUUUAUUGAAGACUAACUACUGCGAAAGCAUUUGCCAAGGAUGUUUUCAUUAAUCAAGAACGAAAGUUAGGGGAUCGAAGACGAUCAGAUACCGUCGUAGUCUUAACCAUAAACUAUGCCGACUAGGGAUCGGA